rnacentral:rRNA from 1 species
CCCUUAGAUGUCCGGGGCCGCACGCGCGCUACACUGAAGGAAUCAGCGUGGCUUUCUCCCUGACCCGAAAGGGUUGGGAAACCCGUUGAAUCUCCUUCGUGAUAGGGAUUGGGGCUUGAAAUUGUUCCCCAUGAACGAGGAAUUCCCAGUAAGCGCGAGUCAUAAGCUCGCGUUGAUUACGUCCCUGCCCUUUGUACACACCGCCCGUCGCUACUACCGAUGGGUGAUCCGGUGAAUGAUUCGGACUCGGUUGCCUCUAGCCACUAGUGGCGCUCGAGAAAGUUUUGUGAACCUUAUCACUUGGAGGAAGGAGAAGUCGUAACA